UCCAAUUUGCGCGCGAUUUGGUGAGUAAUCUCACUAAUCCUGGAUUAGUUGGCUAAUUAUGCUUAAGGUUGGUUUAGAUUUAAUUAAUUAUGUUUAGGUUGUUAGAUUAGAAUAAAUUAGCAAUUAUUAGUCAAUUGUGAUGCGAUUUAGAUAAAUUGAUUGUGCAAUUAACAAGUAGACGUGGUCUACUAAUUAUUGGAAGUGCCUCGGGAUUUUUCCCAACCCUUAGUGGGCUCCAAUUAGGCUUUUCGGGCCUAAGUGGAUUUUUUAGUAUUUAAAUAUUAAUUUUCGGAAUUAAAUUAAAUAAUUAUUUAUUUUCCAAAUAUUCAACUGAGAUGGCCCGGGACCAGAAUAUUGUGCUGAUGACCGUGGUGAAGUCCGUUUAUUUAAUCAGGCUUUAUUUUGAGCUAAAUUGGAUUUUUAAUAUUAAUUAUUUAAUUUUCGAAAUUAAUUAUUUAAUUAAUUAUUUUUCAGAAAUUAAGAUGUUGAUGGCCGACGACCGAAAUCUCGUGCUGAUUGUCGUGGCGCAGUCCGUUUAUUUAUUUGAGCUCUACAUUGUAUGGAAUUGAAUAAAUUGUGAUAUUUUAGGGAUUUACCCUAAAUUGAUUGGAAUUGAUUGAGAUCGAAUUGUUGAUUGGUAAAUGGCCAAGUAUGUUUAUUCAGUAUUUAUAGUGCUUUGUUGAGUUGUAAAAUGAGUAGAAUGACGAGAGUGAAUCAGAAGUACUCUGGGAUUGAACCAAUCAGACAUGGUGUAUGGACCUACGUGGUUCGGUGAUUGGGACAUCACUGGCGAAAACGGCGCCUUAAAGAACGCACGUAUCGGUCUAGUACAUACAUUAUUGUGGACCUACGUGGUUCGGUGAUUGGGAUAUCACUGGCGAAAACGGCGCCUUAAAGAACGCACACAGUUGUCUAAUGGAUACGUCACCUUGGCGAAGUUGACGCCCGAGAGCAUUGAUGUGGCUCUGUGACCGAGUACUCGAUGAAAGAAUAUAUGGUGUGGAAUCAAUGACCUAGAAUGGUCCGUCUAACAUGUAAUCGACUAGGUCGAUUGAUCCUUGCUUUGAUUUGAUGUUGUGAAUUGAUUGACUGAAUGGAAAUGACCGUGAGUGGUCUUGUUGGCAUAUAAUCGACUAGGUCGAUUUGAUCGAUACUUCGAUUGGUGAUAUGAUUGCUUGGGUGCCUAUUAUGAAUUGUACUGACUUGCAGGUGGGAUCUGAGGCCAAGGUAAGUCCUCUGCCCUGUGCGUGUUUAGGCAGCCUGUAGUAUAAUAGUUUACUAAUCUGGCCUUAGUGGGGUAGAACUCGCUGAGACGUAGUCUCAUCCCAGUUUGGGGAAAAACAUUUCAGGACCCCGAUGAGGAGUUGAUGAGGAGGGGUCUGAGAAUGAGAACUCGGAGGUGAAACUUGAGGAGAAGGAUUUUCGGAAGAAGAAGAUAAUCCCGAGAGGGGCCUUAAGUACGGCCUGGAUGGAUUGAGAUCCUAUCUUCUUUUGAGAUCUCUAUUUUGAUGUAAAUAGAGUUUAGAGUAAAAGUUGUGAAGUGCUCUGGUUUGUGCUUUGUAUAAAAGUUUGGUUAUAAGUUUCAAUAUGAAAAAUAUGGCCCUGCUUUUCUAUCCCAUCGUUUUAUUGUCUGGGG
rnacentral:lncRNA from 1 species